CUUUGUUAGAAAAUAUUUUACAACAAAAGUACUUUAACAUGCCAGAAUGACACUUAUCAUUCUCCUUCUAUACCCCCAUUGAUUUAUCUGCAGCCAGAGUUUUAGGUGUGCAGCAGGAUGGCAAGACUCGUGCAAAUUCACCAAGUGAGGCCAUAUAUAGCUGAGAUGGAGAUGAAGAAGCUAACAGAGACCGCAGAGGAACAGGGCUAUUAUUGCCGUGGCGAGCCUGAACACGAACAACGAAGAUUUCGUGGUGUUGGUGACAUCUCUCGCUGCUGAACCAGCUACUUGCUCAAAAGUUCAUUGUCCUAAAGGGCUUACAUCAUGUUGAAUUAACUCAAUGAGAGAGCGCAUAAAUUAUGAGCUUGUAUUUUAGAACGGAAAUGAAUAAUGGUGAAACUAGAAAGGAAGGCUUAGCCAAAGCUGCUUCGGAUGGUGCUACGUACAUCUAGCCGUGAAACCAAGGGGAUAAAAAAUAAAAUAAAAACUCUUUGUUGAAGAUGAGAAUGUCAUGUUAAACUAUGUACUUGUCUGUAAAUUUGGUGGCAAAAAGUCUUUAUUAAUUCGCCGAAAAUAUUCUUCUCUUAGGAUAAUAGCUCAUGCUUUCUGAUCGUGGGGUAUGAUA